rnacentral:rRNA from 1 species
AGUGAACGCUGGCGGUAGGCCUAACACAUGCAAGUCGAACGGCAGCACAGUAAGAGCUUGCUCUUACGGGUGGCGAGUGGCGGACGGGUGAGGAAUACAUCGGAAUCUACUUUUUCGUGGGGGAUAACGUAGGGAAACUUACGCUAAUACCGCAUACGACCUACGGGUGAAAGCAGGGGAUCUUCGGACCUUGCGCGAUUGAAUGAGCCGAUGUCGGAUUAGCUAGUUGGCGGGGUAAAGGCCCACCAAGGCGACGAUCCGUAGCUGGUCUGAGAGGAUGAUCAGCCACACUGGAACUGAGACACGGUCCAGACUCCUACGGGAGGCAGCAGUGGGGAAUAUUGGACAAUGGGCGCAACCCUGAUCCAGCCAUACCGCGUGGGUGAAGAAGGCCUUCGGGUUGUAAAGCCCUUUUGUUGGGAAAGAAAAGCAGCAGGUUAAUACCCCGCUGUUCUGACGGUACCCAAAGAAUAAGCACCGGCUAACUUCGUG